UGAGGAAUAUUGGUCAAUGGGCGGGAGCCUGAACCAGCCAAGCCGCGUGAGGGAAGAAGGCCCUAUGGGUCGUAAACCUCUUUUGUCAGGGAACAAAAGCGAGUAUGUAUACUAGUCUGAGUGUACCUGAAGAAAAAGCAUCGGCUAACUCCGUGCCAGCAGCCGCGGUAAUACGGAGGAUGCGAGCGUUGUCCGGAUUUAUUGGGUUUAAAGGGUGCGUAGGCGGCGGUGCAAGUCAGCGGUAAAAGCCCGGGGCUCAACCCCGGCGAGCCGUUGAAACUGCAGUGCUAGAGAAGGCGAGAGGUACGCGGAAUGCGCAGUGUAGCGGUGAAAUGCUUAGAUAUUGCGCAGAACUCCGAUUGCGAAGGCAGCGUACUGGCGCCUGACUGACGCUGAGGCUCGAAGGUGCGGGUAUCGAACAGGAUUAGAUACCC
rnacentral:rRNA from 1 species